rnacentral:rRNA from 1 species
CCUACGGGUGGCUGCAGUGGGGAAUCUUGCGCAAUGCGCGAAAGCGUGACGCAGCAACACCGCGUGAGGGAAGACGGCCUUAGGGUUGUAAACCUCUUUCAGAUGGGACGAAGGUCAUCCGGUGAAUAGCCGCGAUGGUUGACGGUACCGUCAGAAGAAGCUCCGGCUAACUACGUGCCAGCAGCCGCGGUAAUACGUAGGGAGCGAGCGUUGUCCGGAAUCAUUGGGGGCAAAGAGCGCGUAGUGCGGUGAAAGUCAAAGGCUCACCCUUUGAAAGCCGGCGGAUACUGAUGAUCUAGAGUACGGAAGAGGCGAGUGGAAUUCCUGGUGUAGCGGUGGAAUGCGCAGAUAUCAGGAGGAACACCAAUAGCGAAGGCAGCUCGCUGGGACGUUACUGACGCUGAGGCGCGAAAGCGUGGGGAGCAAACAGGAUUAGAUACCCCGGUAGUC